rnacentral:lncRNA from 1 species
AUGGCCCUGUCGUUCACUUCCCCCUGGCCGUCCACAGCACCCCCCCCCCCGGGUGUACAGGAUCACGUGCACAGGCCCCUCUCUAGGUGCACAGGAUCACGUCCACAGGCUGCCCUUCUGGGUGCACAGGAUCAUGUCCACAGGCCCCUCCUCUGGGUGCACAGGAUCACGUCCACAGGAUGCCCCUCUGGGUGCACAGGAUCACGUACACAGCCCCCCCCCCCCGGGUGCACAGGAUCGCGUCCACAGGCCCCCCAUCCAGGUGCACAGGAUCAUGUCCACAGGCUGCCCCUCCGGGUAUACAGGAUCACAUCCACAGGCUCCCCAUCCAGGUGCACAGGAUCACGUCCACAGGAUGCCCUUCUGGGUGCACAGGAUCACGUCCACAGGCCCCUCCUCUGGGUGCACAGGAUCACGUCCACAGGAUGCCCCUCUGGGUGCACAGGAUCACGUACACAGCCCCCCCCCCGCUCCGGGUGCACAGGAUCACGUCCACAGGCCUCCCAUCUGGGUGCACAGGAUCAUGUCCACAGGCUGCCCCUCCGGGUAUACAGGAUCACAUCCACAGGCUCCCCGUCCAGGUGCACAGGAUCACAUGCACAGGCCCCCUCUCCGGGUGAACAGGAUCACACGGGCCCUCUUCUCUCCAAGGACCCGCUCAUUCCUGGCUCCCAGACAUGACAGCUGGCCCCGCAUGCGGCCCCGGACGUCAUCAGGGAGAUGCUGCAUCUUUCUCAGUUGCCUACUUUUGCACUUUUAAAUGUGUUCUAGCUUCUGCUUGUGCUGUGAUGGAUUGUUCCUCCGCUGACUGGGUGUUGGCUGCAGGAACACGCAUCAGUUCCUUCUCACGUGAACACUUGAGGAUUUUCUUUCCCCCGCGUCUCACCAUAAUGCCUACGACGUCUCUAAUCAUGGCUUUCUAACAAUCCACACAUCUGGCACGUCUGGGUUUAUGUCACUUCCACUACAGAACGAGACAUGUUGAGAGUGUUCCACUUUGCUGCAUCUAGCCCUGAAUUGCUACUGGCACGGUCCUCAUCGCCCUAUAAAACUGAAAAUUCAGCAUAAAAUCAAGAUAAGUUUGAACAGCUGAACUAUUAUGAUCACAUCCUAUCCGUCAUUGCCCACAGGCAGCCAGAGACAGGGCCGCUCUCAUGUGAUUGGGUGCUUCUGCCAUAAAACUGGGGUGGCCAACCGUACGGAGCCCAGCAGGAUGUGCCCCCCCCCCCAGGGGCCCGUCUGAUGUAGAGAGAGCCCUGUGGCCACCAGGGCUGGCGGGAGCACAACUCACCUCAGGGAUCACCCACCUGAGCUGCUCGCUGAGCUCCACCCACACCAGACGACCAGGCUGACCCCACGGGCCAGGCUGACCCCAUGCAGGGCAGGACUGCGACAACAAGGAACGCAC